CUCUCCCAAGCUUCACAGAAAGUUUCAUUGUUUUUUUGGUUGAAACCUGAGAUCUCGUUCCUCAAUCUAGUGGUGCAAGCGUUAGAGAAGAACUUGGCAAGAAAAGCUUUCUUACAAUCGUCCCAUGAGGUGAUGGAGUCUGAGGGUAGAGUCUUCUCCCAGUGGUGUGCCUUGUCUCCCACAG
rnacentral:sRNA from 1 species